GACGAACGCUUGCGGCGUGCCUAAGAAAUGCAAGUCGAGCGGAGGGAGCAAUCCCUUAGCGGCGAACGGUCGCGUAACACGUAAGCAACCUGCCCGAAAGACCGGGACAACAGUUCGAAAGGGCUGCUAAUACCGGAUGUGGCCGAAGGAAGGAUUCUUCUUUCGUCUAAAUCAUUUAUGGCUUUCGGAGGGGCUUGCGGCCUAUCAGCUAGAUGGCGGGGUAACGGCUCACCAUGGCGACGACGGGUAGCUGGUCUGAGAGGAUGGUCAGCCGGACUGGGACUGAGAUACGGCCCAGACUCCUACGGGGGCAGCAAUUAGGAAUCUUGCGCAAUGGGCGAAAGCCUGACGCAGCGACGCCGCGUGGGGGAGGAAGGCC
rnacentral:rRNA from 1 species